rnacentral:rRNA from 1 species
GUUACUGCUAUCGGAGUUCGAUUAAGCCAUGCGAGUCUAAAGGUUUCUUCGGAAGCCUUGGCGGACUGCUCAGUAACACGUGGAUAACCUGCCCUUAGGUCUGGCAUAACCCCGGGAAACUGGGGAUAAUACCGGAUAGAUCAGGGGUCGCUGGAAUGCGCCCUGAUCCAAAGCUCCGGCGCCUAAGGAUGGGUCUGCGACCUAUCAGGUUGUAGUGGAUGUAAUGUACCUACUAGCCGACGACGGGUACGGGUUGUGAGAGCAAGAGCCCGGAGAUGGAUUCUGAGACACGAAUCCAGGCCCUACGGGGUGCAGCAGGCGCGAAACCUUUACAAUGUGCGAAAGCAUGAUAAGGGAACUCCGAGUGCCAGCAUUAAAUGUUGGCUGUCCUUGUGCCUAAAACGCACAAGAUAGCAAGGGCCGGGUAAGACCGGUGCCAGCCGCCGCGGUAACACCGGCGGCCCGAGUGGUAGCCGCUAUUAUUGGGUCUAAAGGGUCCGUAGCCGGUUUGAUAAGUCCUCUGGGAAAUCUGAUUGCUCAACAAUCAGGCUGCCAAGGGAUACUGUCAAACUUGAGACCGGGAGAGGUAAGAGGUACUUCAGGGGUAGGAGUGAAAUCUUAUAAUCCUUGGGGGACCGUCUGUGGCGAAGGCGUCUUACCAGAACGGGUCUGACGGUGAGGGACGAAAGCUGGGGGCGCGAACCGGAUUAGAUACCCGGGUAGUCCCAGCCGUAAACGAUGCUCGCUAUGUGUCAGAUACGGUGCGACCGUAUCUGGUGCCGUAGGGAAGCCGUGAAGCGAGCCACCUGGGAAGUACGGCCGCAAGGCUGAAACUUAAAGGAAUUGGCGGGGGAGCACUACAACGGGUGGAGCCUGCGGUUU